rnacentral:misc_RNA from 1 species
CCAAACUUGGUCAUUUAGAGGAAGUAAAAGUCGUAACAAGGUUUCCGUAGGUGAACCUGCGGAAGGAUCAUUACAGAGUGACGGUUUCGCGAGAGACCAGUUACCCGACCUUUUGUCAUUGUGCGUGGGAGGACGGGAAGAAGCGAGGGCGGAACGGACCGUUGUCUGGGGUCAAACCCGAGCGGGCCGAGCCGUCCCUGGCUCUGAACGAACGACCGCGAUUGAUAACUUCGGCGGAAGUGGUAGGCUCUGACCUGCCCGCCGCCGGCCGUAAUCCACACUCUUGUGAGAAUCUGAAGUCUGAUUAUCAUGAAAUGAAAAAAAGCAAAACUUUCAACAACGGAUCUCUUGGCUCUGGCAUCGAUGAAGAACGCAGC